CCGAAAAUAGCUCAGCGGUAGAGCGGGAGACUGUAGUGGCUUGGCCUUCAAUGGCUUGCGUUGUAAUCUCUAGGUCCCUGGUUCAAAUCCGGGUUUUCGGA